rnacentral:rRNA from 1 species
GUGAGUGGCGAACUGGUGAGUAACACGUGGGAAACCUGCCCAGAAGCGGGGGAUAACACCUGGAAACAGAUGCUAAUACCGCAUAACAACUUGGACCGCAUGGUCCGAGUUUGAAAGAUGGCUUCGGCUAUCACUUUUGGAUGGUCCCGCGGCGUAUUAGCUAGAUGGUGGGGUAACGGCUCACCAUGGCAAUGAUACGUAGCCGACCUGAGAGGGUAAUCGGCCACAUUGGGACUGAGACACGGCCCAAACUCCUACGGGAGGCAGCAGUAGGGAAUCUUCCACAAUGGACGAAAGUCUGAUGGAGCAACGCCGCGUGAGUGAAGAAGGGUUUCGGCUCGUAAAACUCUGUUGUUAAAGAAGAACAUAUCUGAGAGUAACUGUUCAGGUAUUGACGGUAUUUAACCAGAAAGCCACGGCUAACUACGUGCCAGCAGCCGCGGUAAUACGUAGGUGGCAAGCGUUGUCCGGAUUUAUUGGGCGUAAAGCGAGCGCAGGCGGUUUUUUAAGUCUGAUGUGAAAGCCUUCGGCUCAACCGAAGAAGUGCAUCGGAAACUGGGAAACUUGAGUGCAGAAGAGGACAGUGGAACUCCAUGUGUAGCGGUGAAAUGCGUAGAUAUAUGGAAGAACACCAGUGGCGAAGGCGGCUGUCUGGUCUGUAACUGACGCUGAGGCUCGAAAGUAUGGGUAGCAACAGGAUUAGAUACCCUGGUAGUCCAUACCGUAAACGAUGAAUGCUAAGUGUUGGAGGGUUUCCGCCCUUCAGUGCUGCAGCUAACGCAUUAAGCAUUCCGCCUGGGGAGUACGGCCGCAAGGCUGAAACUCAAAGGAAUUGACGGGGGCCCGCACAAGCGGUGGAGCAUGUGGUUUAAUUCGAAGCUACGCGAAGAACCUUACCAGGUCUUGACAUACUAUGCAAAUCUAAGAGAUUAGACGUUCCCUUCGGGGACAUGGAUACAGGUGGUGCAUGGUUGUCGUCAGCUCGUGUCGUGAGAUGUUGGGUUAAGUCCCGCAACGAGCGCAACCCUUAUUAUCAGUUGCCAGCAUUAAGUUGGGCACUCUGGUGAGACUGCCGGUGACAAACCGGAGGAAGGUGGGGAUGACGUCAAAUCAUCAUGCCCCUUAUGACCUGGGCUACACACGUGCUACAAUGGAUGGUACAACGAGUUGCGAACUCGCGAGAGUAAGCUAAUCUCUUAAAGCCAUUCUCAGUUCGGAUUGUAGGCUGCAACUCGCCUACAUGAAGUCGGAAUCGCUAGUAAUCGCGGAUCAGCAUGCCGCGGUGAAUACGUUCCCGGGCCUUGUACACACCGCCCGUCACACCAU